rnacentral:rRNA from 1 species
AGUGAACGCUGGCGGCGUGCUUAACACAUGCAAGUCGAACGAGAACGGGAUAUAGCUUGCUAUAUUUGUCAGCUAAGUGGCGCACGGGUGAGUAAUGUAUAGAUAACCUGCCCUCUAGAAAGGAAUAACAGUUGGAAACGACUGCUAAUGCCCUAUAUGCCUUUAAUACAUAAGUAUGCAAGGGAAACGCUUUAGUGCUAGAGGAUGGGUCUGUAUGGUAUCAGCUUGUUGGUGAGGUAAUGGCUCACCAAGGCUAUGACGCCUAACUGGUUUGAGAGGAUGAUCAGUCACACUGGAACUGAGACGCGGUCCAGACUCAUACGGGAGGCAGCAGUGGGGAAUAUUGCACAAUGGACGAAAGUCUGAUGCAGCAACGCCGCGUGGAGGAUGACACAUUUCGGUGCGUAAACUCCUUUUAUAUAGGAAGAUAAUGACGGUACUAUAUGAAUAAGCACCGGCUAACUCCGUGCCAGCCGCCGCGGUAA